rnacentral:rRNA from 1 species
UACGUGUGGGAGAUUGACGGUACUGUAAGAAUAAGGAUCGGCUAACUCCGUGCCAGCAGCCGCGGUAAUACGGAGGAUCCAAGCGUUAUCCGGAAUCAUUGGGUUUAAAGGGUCCGUAGGCGGCCAGGUAAGUCAGUGGUGAAAACCCAUCGCUCAACGGUGGAACGGCCAUUGAUACUGCUUGACUUGAAUUAUUAGGAAGUAACUAGAAUAUGUAGUGUAGCGGUGAAAUGCUUAGAGAUUACAUGGAAUACCAAUUGCGAAGGCAGGUUACUACUUGUGGAUUGACGCUGAUGGACGAAAGCGUGGGUAGCGAACAGGAUUAGAUACCCUGGUAGUCCACGCCGUAAACGAUGGAUACUAGCUGUUGGGAGUGAUCUCAGUGGCUAAGCGAAAGUGAUAAGUAUCCCACCUGGGGAGUACGUUCGCAAGAAUGAAACUCAAAGAAA